UCCUUAAUGGUGCCUCUACUGGCUCCAAAUUCGAUUCACCAAUCAAACCCAAUUCUGUAUGUGUCGGUUUUUCCACCUCAUAAACUUCAUCAAGUUUAAUUUUACAGGCAUUAGCUCCUUCAUCAAGGAACUCUUUUUCCAAAAAGACUAUCCGGCUACUGACAAACACCUUUUGUUCUGCAGCGAGAUAGAAGUAGUACCCUUUAGUUUCC
rnacentral:lncRNA from 1 species